rnacentral:rRNA from 1 species
CGCAGCCGCGGUAAUUCCAGCUCCAAUAGCGUAUAUUAAAGUUGUUGCAGUUAAAAAGCUCGUAGUUGAAUUUCGAGAUCAAAUUGUUGGUCGUGCCUCGGUACGUACUGGCAUUAUUGAUUUCUCCCUUCUGAAGAACCACGAUGUCAUUAAUUUGGUGUCGUGGGGAAUCAGGACUGUUACUUUGAAAAAAAUUAGAGUGUUUAAAGCAGGCUCACGCUUGAAUACAUUAGCAUGGAAUAAUGAAAUAGGACGUUUGAUUCUAUUUUGUUGGUUUCUAGGAUCGACGUAAUGAUUAAUAGGGAUAGUUGGGGGCAUUAGUAUUCAAUUGUCAGAGGUGAAAAU